rnacentral:lncRNA from 1 species
ACUGCAGCCUGUUUUAUCAGCAAGGUCUUUAUAACCUGUAUUUUGUACUGACCUCCUAUCUCAUCCUGUGACUUAGAAUGCCUUAACAACUGUCUGGAAUGCAGCCCAAUCUCUGGAGUGGCUGCAGCACCUGUGUUUCAGCCUGAAUGGGCUCAGAUAUUUCAUGAUUCUGAAGAAGAAUUAGAGGUGAGACUUGAGAAAAUGGAGAAAAAGAUAUGCUUUGGAUUUUCUUGAAGAUUAGAAGCUUUCUUAACCAUCCAUCAUCUUGUUGAUUGGUUAUUAUUCUCUCUACCUUCUGUGAAACAAACUGAUGGAUACUAAUGGCACAAUUACACUUAUAGCUAGUCAGUUGCAUAGCUUAUGCACAUAGUUCUGCUACUAAUGUUUAGUAAUGAGUUAAACAUUUUCGCUAUAUUUGUCCCUGAAGCUAUAAUUUAAUUAAUCAUUACAUUAUGUAUAGCAAUAAUAACAAGUAAAACAAAAAGAAGAAUUUUUUGUUUUUAUGGUAAUUAUGUUGGGUGCUUUGGAUCCUCCCAAUAAAGUUGACUUCCCUAAAAUAAUCACACUUGAAUUAGGUAUAGAGAAGCUAAUUGUAACAAAUUGAAGGUUACUGUAAAUCUUCUAAUCGUAGUUCUCUGCAAGUGUACUUAAGUUAUUGCUCCACUUGAAAUAAAUGAAAACUGGAAAUCUGAGGUGAUGAAUUAUGGGUCCCUUUUAUGUAAGAAAGAUGACAAGGAAAUCUAGUCUGCUGACUUCUACUAAAAUAAAAUACCUUGGCCUGGGAUCAAAUAUAGGUGAAAGAAUUAACAUUUAUGUUUUUUAAUUAAGAUAAAAUGUACAAGUUUUAUCUACAUAUUUUAUGACUUCCUGAUAUAACAAAAAGUUUUGAUUAAAGCACCCAAUACUGAUUCUAAUGACAUUUUAUUAGCAUUAAAGAGUUGCUAUUAUUA